CUACGGAGGGUGCAAGCGUUACUCGGAAUCACUGGGCGUAAAGCGCGCGCAGGCGGUCUUUUAAGUUGGAUGUGAAAGCCUACGGCUCAACCGUAGAACUGCAUCCAAAACUAUUAGACUAGAGUGUGGGAGAGGAAGAUGGAAUUAGUUGUGUAGGGGUAAAAUCCGUAGAGAUAACUAGGAAUACCAAAAGCGAAGGCAAUCUUCUGGAACACUACUGACGCUGAGGCGCGAAAGCGUGGGGAGCAAACGGGAUUAGAUACCCCAGUAGUCC
rnacentral:rRNA from 1 species